UGUAUCUUUCUUUGUUUUAUGGGUUGAUGCAUUGGGAAAAACAUUCCUUUGCUGGUACUAACUAAUAAGGGUAAGGUUACUGUGCAUACUUUGAUUCAAAAACUCUUCUAAAAUUUUCAGUGAAUCCACUUUAUCUACUUAGUUGGCUCUAAAACCCAAAAACCUGUUUGUUUAGGUAUCUGUACUUUUUAGUUGGUUUUAGUGCUUAUGUGUCUCAUAAAGCUUAUCUACUAGUGAUUGUGAUAUACAAUUACCAAUUAUGAGAUUUGGCUUCAUAUCAAGGACAAAAUCAAAGUGAUUAAAUGAAAAGAAAGAAUAAAUAUGCAUGCGCACAAUUUUCAGUGGCAAUACCCUCCAACUGUCAUUCUACAUUGUGGUUACCAUCAUUGGCUUUUGUGUUUUAAGAGAGACAUGAGUAUGCGUGGGAAUAUGUGCAUGUAGUGGUUACCCUGAAAGGUUAUGAGGAUUGGCAAUGUAAGGAAUUCUCAUUUAAUGCAAACUUGUACACGCUUAAGCCUUAAACAAUGUCCUGUUGAAAUUAACAAUCUAUUUGCAAUAUUGUGACAUCACCUAGACAAUUGAUUGUUGAAAAAUUUAAUUUUGUUUGAAAAAAAUCUGUUAUCCUUAUUCCUAAUAAAUUAAAGAGUUUAAUUAUCAUGGUUAGUGAUGUCUUCACUUUUAAUGAAGCAGUGCUCUCAAGUUCGCUCUCUUCAGGUUAUUGUUAGGCCGAUUUUUUCCUUUCUUCUUGGUAUUAUUAGACCAUGUUAUGUAUGAUAGUUUUGAAAUUAGUUGUUUAAUUGGUA
rnacentral:misc_RNA from 1 species